rnacentral:lncRNA from 1 species
CUUCUAAGGAACUUAAGCAAUCUAGAAUGUAACUAUGAGUGUCCAUACACCUCAUAGAGUCACACACAAUAUUUCACACACAUCUAGAGAUAACAUUUCACUUUGUAUCCAAAAUCAUUCAUCUCAAUCGUCUUGUCCCAUCUUCCUUAUCUUAGCUCAUGCUCUUACUAAUAUACAAUCCGAGUUACAUGUUUAACUUCAGAAAUAUCUUAUUCCCGAUCCUCCUGGGAAGUAUAAUUCAUGAAUCCUUCCAAUAGGGUCGAGUAUCAUCAUACACAUCCAUUACCACUCUCAUGGAGUCUACAUCUAAGGUUAUGAAUCUGAAUGAACUAACCAAUGUCAUACCAUGACCAACCACUUCACACCUUACCAACACAUACAAUAUACCUAACUAAUCUCUUACAGAUCACCACUUAGUAGGUCUCUUCCAGCUCUGUUCCUUAUAGUUAUUCAUAAUCAUAAUAGUAGUACUUCUAAGACUUACUUAAACGGAGCAUGGUUUGCCAGGUUGGUUUCCCCAAACGUAUGACUUCCAUGAUAUCUCUACAGAUGACCAACUAUGAACUACUCCUUCAGAGAUCCUAAUUUCAAAACUACCAAUCUGACUUGUGGUGACUUGUAACUCCAUCCUCAAUUUGUACAUCCACAACGGUACACUUAUGACAUUUAAGACACCCAUAGCUCCAACACAAUGUGAAUGUUUAUACUCCGUGAUCAACCAACCAAACACUCCUCAAAAAGAUAAAUAACAACCAGACUUCCAAUAAGCCACUAAUUAGCUAACAGUCUACAUAUAAGAUCGCGCUUAUCCUCCAGAGUGUCCACCAUCCAAAACAGUACUAGGACCUCACCGACAUCCCUUAGUAGAAUAAAUUUCUCGCUGACACCCAAAAGUUUAGAAUGAGGCCAACAUCUUCCAUAAGAUAUAUACAUAGGUGCCACGCGACUACAACCAUAAAGGUGUAUGACAUUCAGAUUUAUCCUGUGCUCGGAUGAACUUAUCCAAAUUAGCUUGACACUAUCUAAUUCUUUUUACUAUAUUACAUAUCAAAUCCUCUUAUAGGGUUUUGAUUCAUUUAAGAUUUCUCCCGAUACAUGAUCUCGAACAAAAAUGACAUAAUACCAUCAAGGAACUUUAAAUCAUCAACGAGACACCACUUCUAAGGAACUUAAGCAAUCUAGAACGUAACUAUGAGUGUCCAUACACCUCAUAGAGUCACACAUAAUAUUUCACACACAUCUAGAGAUAACAUUUCACUUCGUAUCCAAAAUCAUUAUUCUAAGGAACUUAAGCAAUCUAGAACGUAACUAUGAGUGUCCAUACACCUCAUAGAGUCACACAUAAUAUUUCACACACAUCUAGAGAUAACAUUUCACUUCGUAUCCAAAAUCAUUCAUCUCAAUCAUCUUGUCCCAU